UCUACGGGAGGCAGCAGUGGGGAAUAUUGGGCAAUGGGCGCAAGCCUGACCCAGCAACGCCGCGUGAAGGAAGAAGGCUUUCGGGUUGUAAACUUCUUUUCUGAGGGGCGAAGAAAGUGACGGUACCUCAGGAAUAAGCCACGGCUAACUACGUGCCAGCAGCCGCGGUAAUACGUAGGUGGCAAGCGUUAUUCGGCUUUAUUGGGUGUAAAGGGAGUGUAGGAGGGAAAGCAAGUCAGAUGUGAAAACUGAGGGCUCAACCCUGAGCCUGCAUUUGAAACUGUUUUUCUUGAGUGCUGGAGAGGCAAUCGGAAUUCCGUGUGUAGCGGUGAAAUGCGUAGAUAUACGGAGGAACACCAGUGGCGAAGGCGGAUUGCUGGACAGUAACUGACGCUGAGGCGCGAAAGCGUGGGGAGCAAACAGGAUUAGAUACCCUAGUAGUC
rnacentral:rRNA from 1 species